rnacentral:rRNA from 1 species
UACGUAGGGUCCAAGCGUUGUCCGGAAUUAUUGGGCGUAAAGAGCUCGUAGGCGGUUCGUCGCGUCGGCUGUGAAAACCUGAGGCUCAACCUCAGGCCUGCAGUCGAUACGGGCGGACUUGAGUACUGCAGGGGAGACUGGAAUUCCUGGUGUAGCGGUGAAAUGCGCAGAUAUCAGGAGGAACACCGGUGGCGAAGGCGGGUCUCUGGGCAGUAACUGACGCUGAGGAGCGAAAGCGUGGGGAGCGAACAGG